CAGCAGCCGCGGUAAUACGUAGGGUGCAAGCGUUAAUCGGAAUUACUGGGCGUAAAGCGUGCGCAGGCGGUUUGUUAAGACAGAUGUGAAAUCCCCGGGCUCAACCUGGGAACUGCAUUUGUGACUGGCAAGCUAGAGUGUGGCAGAGGGGGGUGGAAUUCCGCGUGUAGCAGUGAAAUGCGUAGAUAUGCGGAGGAACACCGAUGGCGAAGGCAGCCCCCUGGGCCAACACUGACGCUCAUGCACGAAAGUGUGGGGAGCAAACAGGAUUAGAUACCCCUGUAGUCCCUGUCUCUUAUAC
rnacentral:rRNA from 1 species